UAUAUAUAUAUAUAUAAUGUGAUGUUAAUUUUAAAGUAAUUUAUAAUAUAAUACAUAAUUUUAUUAUGAAUUUAGCGUAACAUAGAUAAAGUCCAAGAAGAUUAUCAAGGGAAGGGGUGUUAUCAAAUAUGACGUAUACUAUUCUUAUUUCCUUUAUUAUAUUAUAAAUAUCGCAAUUUGAUACACGCACGAUUAGUAUUUCUUACGAUGUCUAACAACAUGUGACACGUACUUUAGCAAGUAUUACAAGUGGAAUAAAUUUCGGUGAUAAUUUUAGAACAUUUAAUUUACAACAAUAAUGAAAUUGCUGUAGAUAUUUAGAAGUGACGAUAAUAACUGUUUAUAUAUUCAUAUUCAUGUUGCAUGGUGAACUAUUAGAUGGCGGUUACUCACUAACAAGAUGGCGGUUGAAUGACAAAUCAAGACUACAGAAUAACCCUCCUAUAUGUUUUUAUUCAAUUAAUCGAAAAUAUUAACAAAAUUGUACACUAUUUUUCCUUUUUGUAAACGAAAAUAUAAUUCUUUUUAAUAUUUAUUUCUGAAGUUUUCAAAGGAUUGUGAUGUAUUAAUAAAAUUAUAUUUCGAACGAUACAAUCUAAUUUUUCUUCUUUCUAUAGAAAAAAUACAUCAUAGAAAAAUAGUGGUAAUAUGAUUUUUAUUUCAGAAAAUGAAAAUUUAUUUCAUAUUUUUGGGGGCAUGUUUAUAUGUUUAUUGUUUAUCGAACUUCAUUAAAUUUAAAGUUAAAAAUGUUUCAAUAAAUUAUUAUUAAGUUUUUAAAGGUAAACAUUUAUAAAAUUACGUAAUAUAGUAAAAGAAUUAAUAUAUACGUGAUACAUAAUAAAGAAAAGACAGAUAUUUGUUUUUAUUAUAUUGUUGUAUAAAAUUAAUCGUGAUCGUGAAUUUGUAUUACCUAUUUGUAUUAGUUAAUAUUUGAGCAAAUCAAAUUUUAAAAGAAUAAUUCUUUAAAAGUGGUUUGAAAUCGAAAUGUAGGUCGUAAGUCGUAAAAAAUUGUCCAGAGUCCUUGGGCUUUAUUAAACCGGAAGUGCCGUGCGUUCCACACCCGGUUUAUACCAUACAAAAAAAUUGAGAAUCACCCUGACUUUUUAAUGUAAUAGUUUCUUAUUAAAUUCAUAUACUUUGGUAAUUGAUAACAAUUAAUAAUUCCACAUAGAUUAUCAAUUUAGAAAGUUUGAAUGAAAACUUAUACAAAAAGAAAGCAAUUACAUUAUCGUUUUAAAAUUUUUAAAUUUGUAUACAAUAUUUUU